GUGGGGAAUCUUCCGCAAUGGGCGAAAGCCUGACGGAGCAAUGCCGCGUGAGUGAAGAAGGCCUUCGGGUUGUAAAACUCUGUCCUUAUUGAAGAGAGGUAUUGGUGUGAAAAAUGCUAAUAUAGGACGGUAAAUAAGGAGGAAGCCCCGGCUAACUACGUGCCAGCAGCCGCGGUAAUACGUAGGGGGCGAGCGUUGUCCGGAAUCACUGGGCGUAAAGGGCGCGUAGGCGGUAUAAUAAGUCAGUGGUGAAAACCUGGGGCUCAACCCCGGGCCUGCCACUGAUACUGUUAAACUUGAGUAUGGAAGAGGAGAAUGGAAUUCCUAGUGUAGCGGUGAAAUGCGUAGAUAUUAGGAGGAACACCAGUGGCGAAGGCGAUUCUCUGGGCCAAGACUGACGCUGAGGCGCGAAAGCGUGGGGAGCAAACAGGA
rnacentral:rRNA from 1 species